UCAGAUCCAACACCAGGCCUUGGUGGUGACGA
rnacentral:piRNA from 1 species